UACGGAGGGGGCGAGCGUUGUUCGGAAUUACUGGGCGUAAAGGGCGCGCAGGCGGCCUUAGAAGUCAGAUGUGAAAGCCCCGGGCUCAACCUGGGAAUGGCAUUUGAUACUCUGAGGCUGGAGUACGGGAGAGGAGAGUGGAAUUCCCCAGUGUAGAGGUGAAAUUCGUAGAUAUUGGGAAGAACACCGGUGGCGAAGGCGGCUCUCUGGACCGUAACUGACGCUGAGGCUGCGAAAGCGUGGGGAGCAAACAGG
rnacentral:rRNA from 1 species